GAGUGUUUCAGUUCCCAGGAGUAUGUGAGCUCUUUCUUCAUCAACCUAACCAUGCUUGGAGGUAUGAUAAUGAAUGACAGCAAACCAACAACCGGAACAGAGGUCUGCUAUGAACAUAAACGUCAUGAUAGUGAGAUGUAUCUCCCAGAGAGCAGGAUGUAACAAUGAUGAAGAUAAUUAGCAUUGAUGAAUACAAGAUUACAGAGAGGACUCAACAUGCAAUGGGAGGAACUCCACUCUCAGUUUGAAGACUGGGUUUUCCAUCAAAAGCAGUCCCUUGGUUUCAUUAGAAUGAAAGGAAGCUGAGCCCUGAGCAGGAACUCGGGGAUGUGGGAAGAAACCAAGAUACUCCUGUAGCGGGAAAGGUGACCGUGCUCACAUAAGAGCACCAGCUACUGCUCCGAGGGAGUUUUCCAGAGCUGCUGUGACUAAGCACCACAAACUGGAUUUUCUAGGCUCGUCGUUCUGGAGGUCAGAAGUCCGAAGUCAAGGUGUCGGCUGGGCCCUGCUCCCUCUGAGGGCUGGAGGAGAGGAUCCCUCUUUGCCUCUUUCCUAGUUCUGGCAGAAACCAGCCAUCUUUGGCAUUUCUUGGUCUGAAGAUGCAUCACUCCAAUCUCUGCCUCCUUUGUCAUGUGGUUUUCCCUUUGUCUUCACAUUUCUUCACUCUAUGUAUGUGUCCGUGUCUAAAUUUUUCUCUUCGAAGGAUACCACUCAUUGGAUUAGGGUCUACCCUUAUCCGGUACGACUUUAUCUUACCUAAUUACAUCUGCAAAACAGGUUACAUUCUGAAAGUCCCAAAAUGUUGUCGUGAGAGAAUGCUAAAGGUCUAUUGAUCACCUUCUCUCUGCGAUAUUCACUCACCGUUAUGUCCCAUGAUCUAGUGUGAUUUUACAUAUAUAUAUAUUUCAGGGGAUAAACAAAUAUUAACAAAAUUUAGCAUUUUUAGCUUUCACCACUUCCUAGAGUUCCAUAGCACCUUUUUUUUGGAUUCACUUUAAGUAGAUAUUUAGGAUGCCAGCUUUCAGGAACAUAUAC